UACGUAUGGUGCAAGCGUUAUCCGGAUUUACUGGGUGUAAAGGGAGCGCAGGCGGCACGGCAAGCCUGAUGUGAAAGCCCGCGGCCCAACCGCGGGACUGCAUUGGGAACUACCGGGCUGGAGCGCCGGAGAGGUAGGCGGAAUUCCUAGUGUAGCGGUGAAAUGCGUAGAUAUUAGGAGGAACACCAGUGGCGAAGGCGGCUUACUGGACGGUGACUGACGCUGAGGCUCGAAAGCGUGGGGAGCAAACAGG
rnacentral:rRNA from 1 species